CCUACGGGUGACAGCAGUCGAGAAUCAUUCACAAUGGGGGAAACCCUGAUGGUGCGACGCCGCGUGGGGGAAUGAAGGUCUUCGGAUUGUAAACCCCUGUCAUGUGGGAGCAAAUUAAAAAGAUAGUACCACAAGAGGAAGAGACGGCUAACUCUGUGCCAGCAGCCGCGGUAAUACAGAGGUCUCAAGCGGUGUUCGGAAUCACUGGGCGUAAAGCGUGCGUAGGCUGUUUCGUAAGUCGUGUGUGAAAGGCGCGGGCUCAACCCGCGGACGGCACAUGAUACUGCGAGACUAGAGUAGUGGAGGGGGAACCGGAAUUCUCGGUGUAGCAGUGAAAUGCGUAGAUAUCGAGAGGAACACUCGUGGCGAAGGCGGGUUCCUGGACAUUAACUGACGCUGAGGCACGAAGGCCAGGGGAGCGAAAGGGAUUAGAUACCCCUGUAGUC
rnacentral:rRNA from 1 species